GUUCCUGGCUCAGGAUGAACGCUAGCGGCAGGCCUAACACAUGCAAGUCGAGGGGCAUCGGGAUUGAAGCUUGCUUCAAUUGCCGGCGACCGGCGCACGGGUGCGUAACGCGUAUGUAACCUACCUAUAACAGGGGCAUAACACUGAGAAAUUGGUACUAAUUCCCCAUAAUAUUCGGAGAGGCAUCUCUCCGGGUUGAAAACUCCGGUGGUUAUAGAUGGACAUGCGUUGUAUUAGCUAGUUGGUG
rnacentral:rRNA from 1 species